rnacentral:rRNA from 1 species
GGAGGGACGGAGAAGGCUAGGCCAGCUUGGCGUUGGUUGUCCACGUUUCCGCUGGUUGGCUUUCUUCUUAUGUCCCUCCGGGAUUCUACGCCCUCUUUCUUCUCACGAGUCAUCUGUUUGGUGACGAAGUGGUUGAUGCCAUGCUUCCAAGAAAAGCUUCUAAGCUUCAGGUAACCAGGAACCGUACCCCAAACCGACACAGGUGGUUGGGUAGAGAAUACCAAGGCGCUUGAGAGAACUCGGGUGAAGGAACUAGGCAAAAUGGCACCGUAACUUCGGGAGAAGGUGCGCCGGUGAGGGUGAAGGACUUGCUCCGUAAGCUCAUGCCGGUCGAAGAUACCAGGCCGCUGCGACUGUUUAUUAAAAACACAGCACUCUGCAAACACGAAAGUGGACGUAUAGGGUGUGACGCCUGCCCGGUGCCGGAAGGUUAAUUGAUGGGGUUAGCUAACGCGAAGCUCUUGAUCGAAGCCCCGGUAAACGGCGGCCGUAACAAUAACGGUCCUAAGGUAGCGAAAUUCCUUGUCGGGUAAGUUCCGACCUGCACGAAUGGCGUAACGAUGGCGGCGCUGUCUCCACCCGAGACUCAGUGAAAUUGAAAUCGCUGUGAAGAUGCAGUGUAUCCGCGGCUAGACGGAAAGACCCCGUGAACCUUUACUAUAGCUUUGCACUGGACUUUGAAUUUGCUUGUGUAGGAUAGGUGGGAGGCUUUGAAGCGUGGACGCCAGUUCGCGUGGAGCCAACCUUGAAAUACCACCCUGGCAACUUUGAGGUUCUAACUCAGGUCCGUUAUCCGGAUCGAGGACAGUGUAUGGUGGGUAGUUUGACUGGGGCGGUCUCCUCCUAAAGAGUAACGGAGGAGUACGAAGGUGCGCUCAGACCGGUCGGAAAUCGGUCGUAGAGUAUAAAGGCAAAAGCGCGCUUGACUGCGAGACAGACACGUCGAGCAGGUACGAAAGUAGGUCUUAGUGAUCCGGUGGUUCUGUAUGGAAGGGCCAUCGCUCAACGGAUAAAAGGUACUCCGGGGAUAACAGGCUGAUACCGCCCAAGAGUUCAUAUCGACGGCGGUGUUUGGCACCUCGAUGUCGGCUCAUCACAUCCUGGGGCUGAAGCCGGUCCCAAGGGUAUGGCUGUUCGCCAUUUAAAGUGGUACGCGAGCUGGGUUUAGAACGUCGUGAGACAGUUCGGUCCCUAUCUGCCGUGGACGUUUGAGAUUUGAGAGGGGCUGCUCCUAGUACGAGAGGACCGGAGUGGACGAACCUCUGGUGUUCCGGUUGUCACGCCAGUGGCAUUGCCGGGUAGCUAUGUUCGGAAUAGAUAACCGCUGAAAGCAUCUAAGCGGGAAACUAGCCUCAAGAUGAGAUCUCACUGGAACCUUGAGUUCCCUGAAGGGCCGUCGAAGACUACGACGUUGAUAGGUUGGGUGUGUAAGCGCUGUGAGGCGUUGAGCUAACCAAUACUAAUUGCCCGUGAGGCUUGACC